rnacentral:lncRNA from 1 species
AUGUUAUAAGGAGAUAAAAGUGAAAAUGAAACGACAAAGGAAAUGAGCCAGAAAAUCAGACCUCUGGACAAUUAAAAUUCAGUGUCCAAGUCAAACCAGUGACAAUCUUUUAGGUAGAUUGUAUAAAUUCAGCUUAUUGUAGAUUUUAAAAGAAAACAAUUUUGAAGUUUCUUAUCACCAGGAACAGCUGCUAGACCUCCAAAUGGAACUUCCUAAUGAGUGUGGAAACAAAAUCUGUUUCUUUAUUUCCCAGAUACCCCGUAUUUGCCUGGCUACCAACCAACACUGACCAGCUGCUGCUCUCUAUUCUCCAGCCACCUGGUCUUACUGCUGACAUUUGAGUUUGGAAAGAGUAUGUGCUUCUUUCUAAAUAUUCCAGAUAUUAUCCCUUAUUUGCACUGUAGCUGGCUUCUGGAUUGACUCUAAUAGAAAAUGUCAAAAUCUCCCUAGUCUUUCUUGAGACACAAUGAAGUGCUUGGAGGGUGUCAUUGAGGAGACUGGCAGUCAUUGUCCCUUCCUUGUUCUGUGUUUGUCAGUAGUGUGGAGAUAGAGAAACUUAAAUCUACAUUUGCAAGACCCUUUCACAAGGAGGAUUCUUGAUGUAAUAUAGUUUAUCCAGUUAAGUUGAAAAAGGAAAGGAAGCAGAGCUAUACAUUUGCAACUGCUGCUAUGACUCCUGUAAAGUUUGGUCAGGAAGCCUCUGGGAUUUUCUGCAGCUGCGCUUUAGUUGGAGAUCAAUUACAGAGCCAUCGUGAAAAUCAUCAGGUGAUGGAAGUUUCAGUGAAUAGUCAUCAGGUAUUGAAAAUGUAGAUUUAAGCCUUCUCAAUCUCCACACUACUGACAAACAAAGAAGGAAAGAAGAAUGGCGGCCAUAGUAUCCUCCAUGAGACCCUUCAAACACUUCACUGUCUCAUCAAGUGUGUGAAUUGAGAGGCAGGAUGUGGUAGCUGAAUAUCGACUUUCUGAUUCCUGGACAGAAGCUAGGGCUGUGUAUUUGUGGAUCCAGCAAUUCCUUGGAGGUUUACGCCCACCAUAUGCAGGGCUUCAGGAGGAAGAAAGCCUUUCUAGUGGAGGUCAUUAGCAUCACUGGAGGUCAACAGUAGCUGCUGAGGGAGAGACUGACCCAUCUCAAGAAGGAAAAUUGUGUGGAGCCACAAGUGAGAUUUGAAUUCAUGUGUGGACCUGGAGCUUCUGAAAGAGAGUUGGAGAUGGAAAAAUUCCUGUGUGCUGAAUUUCUGCCCUAUACACCAGGUGAAGGCAGCAUGAUGGUUAUGGUUGACGAGAGUGAAGAGGCCAUCUUGUGAGCCACAUCAGAAGAUAGAGAAGAUUUUUCCGACUGAAACAACAUAUUAAAGGCCAAGGGCAUCCCGAAAUCUCAGAAGAAAACUAUAGCCUGUUGGAAAAUGAGAACUGGACUCUUAUUCUGCUCUGCAUCUGUGUAGAUGAAGCCCCGACACACAGCCUAACGGUUAAUGACUUCUUGAAUCUCACUGCUGCUGCGCUCCAUUCCCUGGCUGCAAAAUGGAGAAAGCACCUGGAUCCACAGUGAUGACAUCUGUCUGACCUAGCAUUUCUCCACCUGCCAUCUCUGACUGACCUUGGCCAUGUCUUUUGGAUGGCUUGGAUGCCACACUCUGCUGUACACUGUCACUCACCAAUCUCACCACUUUGAAUGCUAACCUGAACUCUGCUUGAGUUUGCCUCAUCCCUUGCCCUUUACUAGACUAUUCAUUCAGCUAAAGCAAGAGUAACAACUGUCCUUUCCACAGUUUUUGCUUCUGCUGAGUCUCUGUUGGAAAACAUUCAACAUCCUUAUACCUAAAUCCCCUCAUGUUAUGGACAACAUCUAAGCAAUAAUAAGCGUAAUAGAUAAAAUGAAGUAUCUUAUUAAAUUCAUUAAUUACCUGGUUGAGAAUAGGAUGCUGAAAUAAAAGAAAUCAUGUGUUUUUCUGCUUGUUUUUUUGGGUUUUUUUGUUUUUAUAAGAAAGAGGAACAGUUUCAUGAGAAUCUUCCCAGAAUGGGAAAUUUUAGUGACUUAGCAAAAUUGGGUGCUUGAGCAAUCUGGUGGCGGUAUGAUGUCAGGGGUGUGGAAGAGAACAGACACAAAUGCGCUGAUGAGUAAAUAGAGUUGAUGCAAUGGACAAUACUGAACAUCUAUCCUUAAGCUCUUUUCCAAUGUUUCCUGGGACUCUGGUCAAAACUUCAAAUAAAUCUGCUUUAAAAGUCCCAGUAAGAAAUCUUCCUCUCUCUGCAAAUGGAUGGCUGUUGUCCACUUCUAGGAGACUGUAAUUUAACUCCAUAGAAAAGGUCAAACAAACAUACUCUGAACUGAAGGACACCAGUCCUCAGGUGCAAGCAGGAUUCCUGUACUGAAAAAAAAUAGAUGGACAAGAACAAUUGCAUACUGAAUACUGACACUCUCAGUGGUCUUGUCCAACUAGGUUCCCAGAAUUCUGCCAGCUCAUCUCUCCCAAGACCUGGAAGGUUAUUCUCUGAAGACUCGGACCAACCAAAGGGGAAAAAGCUCAUUAUUCAUGUGUGUAGAUUAGUGAUCAUGGUUAUCUUUGGAUUAUAUAGUGCUUUAUACUUUUCUGUAUUCUUCCCAUUUUCUAUAAUAAGCAUGUAUUUAUUCAUCUUUAAUCAUAAAAAUUAAUAUUCAUGAGUAAAUACUUCUGGGCACUAUGCUAAGCAACUUAAAUUCAUUAUCUCUUUUAAUUCUCACGGUAAUCUUAGAAGUUAGGUAUUAUUUAAUUGUCACUUAAUAAUUGAGGAAACAUGGUCCUAGAGGUUAAAUAAUUGUUCACCAUCAGGUAACUAAUAACUGACUGACUUAGAUUUGAACCCAGUCUGUCUGGCUCCAAGCCAGUGUUGUGACUCAGUACCUUAAAAUGCCUCAAACAAUUUUAAAACGUUUUUCAAAGGAGGGGUUUCUAAACUCCUCAAAUUAUCCAAUCUCUUUAUUUUCAUAUCUUGCUCUAAUAAGCAUCAAAUUAUAUUUCAUAGCCAUUUCUUAUUUCUCCAGUUUCUGAUCUCAUAAUUUGUUUUAUUGUUUGUUUGUUUAUGCCCAGCUACAUCCUUUGAACAUGAUGUUUGAUACCUGACUCUGCUUUAAUUGAUAUAAAUGGUCAGAAGUGCUGUGGGGCUUUGGUAACACCCCUUAGGCAAUGUGUGGAGA